rnacentral:lncRNA from 1 species
GCCUCAGGGACGGCCUCUCCAAACUAAUAGGCUGGGCCCAGUGAGCAGGUCCAGGUGGCUGGAGCAAGGUGGGGGAUGGUAGGGCCCUGAAGGUAGAGGAGAGGGGCUGGGGACAAGUUCCUCAUGGCAGCAGGACUGCAGGCUUGGGUGUCCCCCAGCAGGGGGCAGCCAACUGCUUCUCACAGAUUGUCCAGCUGGGGUCAGAGGGGAUGCAGGGGUGUGGUCUGAAGGCCUCUGUGGGCAACACAGAAGCGCAGUUGGGUCUUCAUUAAGAUUCUGUGUGACUCCUUUCAGAGUCCCUGCUGGGAAGCCUGGGGAUGGGACAGAGGAGAAGACUGCUCUGCCUCUUGCCACCGGGUGGGAAUCCCGGUGCCCCCGGCAGGUCUGCUCUGGAGGGCCAAGGCUGGGGGUCAGCAUGUGGCUGGAGAGUGAGGGGCAUCCAGCAUCUCCUGGCCAGGGGUGGCCAUUGUGUAGGGGCCUGGUGGUGCCACCUCAGCUUGUAGUGACCACGAGCCAGUGUCCAGAAGGUCCCAGCACAGCAUGGUCAUGAUAGCCUGCCCGCUCAACAUCUCUCUAACACAACGAGGGACAUUCUUUUCCCACAAUUUCCUGUCAACACGGAAUCCCACAAACCCCAGCGGUUCACUUGUCCUGAUUUUGAAAGUCAUUAUGGUUGAGACGGGGCAAGAUGAGAGUUGAUUAAGAAAAUAUUUGUGACCCAAGAAGGAGUGCCCAAGUGAACGUCACAAAUGGGACCAGUGGGCAGCUGCUGCCAGCCAUUCAGGAGGAAGAGUGACUCGGCCUCACAGAGAGGGACAGUGGCUGAGUUCACAGCUGAGGCUUGGUGUUUGUCCCGUGCUUAGAUGGCCUCUGCGUGAGUCCGGCAGCGAUGCUCUGUAUGGAUUUCACCACCUCCAAUGCCUCAGUCUGCUUAACAACCAUGGAGGUGGACAGAGGGAAAUUGCCACCAGAAAAGGAAACUGGAGGUUGGCUCAUCAGUGGGCGCCUGUCUCAUGCGGCUCUCUGAGACCUGCCGACUCUUCUGGAAAAAUCUAUCCUCCUCCUUUGUCUCUGAGCCUUGGGUCUGAGAUGGAGAGGACCAGGAGGCGUGCCCAGCCCGAGGGGCAGACUUGUGCUGUUGCCUGUCCUGUGCUCUUGCUGGUCCUGGGCUCAGCUUCAGAUGCACUUCUUGAGUCCAUUUCUCCCUGGCUACCCAUG